rnacentral:rRNA from 1 species
UACGUAGAAGACUAGUGUUAUUCAUCUUUAGUAGGUUUAAAGGGUACCUAGACGGUAUUACUAGCCCAAAAUAGGGUACGGUAUUGCUAGAGUUUUAUAUGAGAAGGGGAGUAUUCAUGGAGUAGAGAUGAAAUUUUUUUGAUACCAUGACGCUGGUAGCGGCGAAAGCAACCUUUUAUCUAAUAACUGACGUUGAGGGACGAAGGCUUGGGUAACAAAGCAGG